UCGGUCAAGUCGUAUUAGGGUACCCCGCUAGGGGUAUAAUAGGGAAUCCCGUGGUCCGCGCAGGCGGAGAAUCGGGAACGGACCCGCCACUGUAAGCGGCAACGAAACCCAACGGACGCCACUGGCUCAAGGCCGGGAAGGCGCGGGGAGUAGGCAAGCAAGGCCGCGAGUCAGGAGACCUGCCCUGAUAUGCCUCACAGC
rnacentral:ncRNA from 2 species